AGAAACUGUCACAGAAAAACCAUUAGACUUGAAACUGAUUCUGUCUCAGCUCUGUUUGAAACUUCAAUUGUUUCUCAAGCAAGCUUCUCUACUUCUUAUCUCUAAACUAAUAUAAUAAGACUUAAUUUCUAAUAUCAUCCUUAUACUGUGUGACCCUGGUCAAGUCACUUAACCUCUAUUGCCUAGCCCCCUGUAAUAGAGGGCAAUACUAGGAUAUUUGUGGUAGUAAGGACAGGGACAGCAGGAAGCCAGCUAAGGGACAAGGCUGGACCUUACACUCCUCCCACACACUACUUCCUGUCCCUUCCCCAACUGAAUCUAAAGAUUCUUCUCAAGAAUGGAAUAUAUACAACCAUUGGCUCCUGAUCGGUCCUGUGCUUCCAUGACUAGAAGGGUUGGAGUCAAAGAUGACUGACAAUUGAUCCAGGAAGAACCCAUUCUUCAGUAGACUUUAAGAGCUGUAGAAAAACUCUGGUGGCCCUCUGUUUUGAAUACAUCAUUUAGGAUUCAGAAAGCCUCUCCCUAGGAUUUCAACAAGGUGGGGAAAGAGUAUUUCUCUCUCUUCUUCCCCUCACCAACAAUGAUGGCAAUUACAUGUAC
rnacentral:lncRNA from 1 species